rnacentral:piRNA from 1 species
AUGCAAUUGAGGUUGAUGACUGCUGUGGAGU